rnacentral:rRNA from 1 species
GGUUAAGCGACUAAGCGUACACGGUGGAUGCCCUGGCAGUCAGAGGCGAUGAAGGACGUGCUAAUCUGCGAAAAGCGCCGGCGAGGUGAUAUGAACCUUUGACCCGGCGAUGUCCGAAUGGGGAAACCCAGUGUGUUCCGACACACUAUCGUUAACUGAAUACAUAGGUUAACGAGGCGAACCGGGGGAACUGAAACAUCUAAGUACCCCGAGGAAAAGAAAUCAACCGAGAUUCCCCCAGUAGCGGCGAGCGAACGGGGAGCAGCCCAGAGUCUGAAUCAGCUUGUGUGUUAGUGGAAGCGUCUGGAAAGUCGCACGGUACAGGGUGACAGUCCCGUACACGAAAAUGCACAGGUUGUGAACUCGAAGAGUAGGGCGGGACACGUGGUAUCCUGUCUGAAUAUGGGGGGACCAUCCUCCAAGGCUAAAUACUCCUGACUGACCGAUAGUGAACCAGUACCGUGAGGGAAAGGCGAAAAGAACCCCGGCGAGGGGAGUGAAAAAGAACCUGAAACCGUGUACGUACAAGCAGUGGGAGCACCUUCGGGUGUGACUGCGUACCUUUUGUAUAAUGGGUCAGCGACUUAUAUUCUGUAGCAAGGUUAACCGUAUAGGGGAGCCGAAGGGAAACCGAGUCUUAACUGGGCGUUAAGUUGCAGGGUAUAGACCCGAAACCCGGUGAUCUAGCCAUGGGCAGGUUGAAGGUUGGGUAACACUAACUGGAGGACCGAACCGACUAAUGUUGAAAAAUUAGCGGAUGACUUGUGGCUGGGGGUGAAAGGCCAAUCAAACCGGGAGAUAGCUGGUUCUCCCCGAAAGCUAUUUAGGUAGCGCCUCGUGAACUCAUCUUCGGGGGUAGAGCACUGUUUCGGCUAGGGGGCCAUCCCGGCUUACCAACCCGAUGCAAACUACGAAUACCGAAGAAUGUUAUCACGGGAGACACACGGCGGGUGCUAACGUCCGUCGUGAAGAGGGAAACAACCCAGACCGCCAGCUAAGGUCCCAAAGUCAUGGUUAAGUGGGAAACGAUGUGGGAAGGCACAGACAGCCAGGAUGUUGGCUUAGAAGCAGCCAUCAUUUAAAGAAAGCGUAAUAGCUCACUGGUCGAGUCGGCCUGCGCGGAAGAUGUAACGGGGCUAAACCAUGCACCGAAGCUGCGGCAGCGACGCUUAUGCGUUGUUGGGUAGGGGAGCGUUCUGUAAGCCGUUGAAGGUGGCCUGUGAGGGUUGCUGGAGGUAUCAGAAGUGCGAAUGCUGACAUAAGUAACGAUAAAGCGGGUGAAAAGCCCGCUCGCCGGAAGACCAAGGGUUCCUGUCCAACGUUAAUCGGGGCAGGGUGAGUCGACCCCUAAGGCGAGGCCGAAAGGCGUAGUCGAUGGGAAACAGGUUAAUAUUCCUGUACUUGGUGUUACUGCGAAGGGGGGACGGAGAAGGCUAUGUUAGCCGGGCGACGGUUGUCCCGGUUUAAGCAUGUAGGCGGAACGAUUAGGUAAAUCCGGUCGUUUAUUAACGCUGAGGUGUGAUGACGAGGCACUACGGUGCUGAAGUAACAAAUGCCCUGCUUCCAGGAAAAGCCUCUAAGCAUCAGGUAACAUCAAAUCGUACCCCAAACCGACACAGGUGGUCAGGUAGAGAAUACCAAGGCGCUUGAGAGAACUCGGGUGAAGGAACUAGGCAAAAUGGUGCCGUAACUUCGGGAGAAGGCACGCUGAUAUGUAGGUGAAGCCCCUGCGGGUGGAGCUGAAAUCAGUCGAAGAUACCAGCUGGCUGCAACUGUUUAUUAAAAACACAGCACUGUGCAAACACGAAAGUGGACGUAUACGGUGUGACGCCUGCCCGGUGCCGGAAGGUUAAUUGAUGGGGUUAGCGGCAACGCGAAGCUCUUGAUCGAAGCCCCGGUAAACGGCGGCCGUAACUAUAACGGUCCUAAGGUAGCGAAAUUCCUUGUCGGGUAAGUUCCGACCUGCACGAAUGGCGUAAUGAUGGCCAGGCUGUCUCCACCCGAGACUCAGUGAAAUUGAACUCGCUGUGAAGAUGCAGUGUACCCGCGGCAAGACGGAAAGACCCCGUGAACCUUUACUAUAGCUUGACACUGAACACUGGUCCUUGAUGUGUAGGAUAGGUGGGAGGCUUUGAAGUGUGGACGCCAGUCUGCAUGGAGCCGUCCUUGAAAUACCACCCUUUAAUGGCUGGUGUUCUAACGUAGACCCGUAAUCCGGGUUGCGGACAGUGUCUGGUGGGUAGUUUGACUGGGGCGGUCUCCUCCCAAAGAGUAACGGAGGAGCACGAAGGUUAGCUAAUCCUGGUCGGACAUCAGGAGGUUAGUGCAAUGGCAUAAGCUAGCUUGACUGCGAGAGUGACGGCUCGAGCAGGUGCGAAAGCAGGUCAUAGUGAUCCGGUGGUUCUGAAUGGAAGGGCCAUCGCUCAACGGAUAAAAGGUACUCCGGGGAUAACAGGCUGAUACCGCCCAAGAGUUCAUAUCGACGGCGGUGUUUGGCACCUCGAUGUCGGCUCAUCACAUCCUGGGGCUGAAGUAGGUCCCAAGGGUAUGGCUGUUCGCCAUUUAAAGUGGUACGCGAGCUGGGUUUAGAACGUCGUGAGACAGUUCGGUCCCUAUCUGCCGUGGGCGCUGGAGAAUUGAGGGGGGCUGCUCCUAGUACGAGAGGACCGGAGUGGACGCAUCACUGGUGUUCGGGUUGUCAUGCCAAUGGCACUGCCCGGUAGCUAAAUGCGGAAAAGAUAAGUGCUGAAAGCAUCUAAGCACGAAACUUGCCCCGAGAUGAGUUCUCCCUGAGACUUUAAGUCUCCUGAAGGAACGUUGAAGACGACGACGUUGAUAGGUCGGGUGUGUAAGCGCAGCGAUGCGUUGAGCUAACCGAUACUAAUGAACCGUGAGGCUUAACCUU